UAAAAUAUCAUUGUUCAUUUUUAAUACUCAAGAAAAAUCUAAAUUAGUAAAAUGUAUCUUUGAAAAGUUUGCCAAAAUAGGUUCUCCUCUGCGCUCCGGGGUCACGUCGGCCCCUCGGAGUGAGUAGGGAGGUAAGGGUAUCGUGUUAAAAGAACGAUAAUUUUGUUUACACACAGCCAUCAAAAAUAUAACUUUUAGUAUAAUAAACUUUGCAAUCAUUGGAAUCGCGUUUGGACCUACAAAAAAAAAAAAAAAAAAAAAAAUAACGUGCCACAAUCACCUAUAAGUUAUAUUAUUAACAAAAAAAAAAAAAAUUAAUUCUCUCUCCGUCGCCUAUUCUCUAACUAUAGGCCAUAUCUAGACCACUCAAAACCCCAAAAACAAUCAUGUUUUUUUUAAUAUCUAUAUAUAUAGAAAAAAAAACUAUGAAAAAAUCAAAUAUACUAUAUAAAAAGAUGCAUGGAGAAGAAUAGAACGAUUUUACCAAUAUUGUGAGAAAACAUAAUAGAAAUCUUCGCGGAAGAAAUAUGUCUUAUACUCUUGCCUUGUGUAAAAUUAAGAAACCUGCACUAAAAAUAAAUAACAAAAAUAACAAAAAUAAUUUACAAAAAUUCUAUACUAAGAAUUAAACAAAGAACCAAAAUUGAAAAAUGUGGAACCUGCUUUUGAUCCGACCACAUUGUGCCAAAAAUUUGGUCUAGGGGUAUUCAAUCAAAGAGUAAAAUUGAAAAUUAUUUUAACCAAAAAAAAUCCUUUCGUGUAGUAUUUUUCAUACCACAGGGAUCACCAAGGCUAUGUUGCAUAUUUCAAUCGAGUUCUUAAAUUAAUUAAGAGAAGGUUUGGCGUUAAAGAGUAUUUAUGUAAGAAUUAAAAAAACAAACAAAUAGAAUUAUUAGGAUGCAAGUUUAAGGAAAGGCUUAGGGUUUCGACUCCACCAUACUCGUAGUCAAUGACUAUGCCGCCAUGACUAGCAACCCCGGCGAAUGUUGUCUAGGCAAUCGUGUGAUCCAGACUCGCAUAUUAUCGUAAUAUUGAGACGUCCAAUUCAUCUCAUUUUGGGUGGGCGAAUCAUCUUCCUCUAAGGGUAAACCUAUCCGCACUCAAUUAUAUCUGGCCAUCAAGCAAAGAUUCCAUGGUAUAAAUUCGUAUUUUGAAAUCACAGAAAGCAAAUAGCAGCUUGCUAGAUAGAACGAAAUCAUGUCAUUAAAUAAAUCAAAGCGAUCAAAGUGCCUACCUCCAUUGAUACAUCAAUCUCAAAUCUAAAAAACUGAAUGAUAUAAAUAAGAGAUACUGUUUAUGGUUUUCAUCACCCUUAACUCUCGCAUGAAACAAUCUAUAAAACUCUUUUGUGUGGGCUCCUGGAAGCGGCUCCUCUAAUAUUUUGAAAGAAUAGAGUUUUCUUUUCAUAGUAGCUUUCUCCACGCCUAGACUAACCAAACUCUGAAUAUUUCUCAGUUGAAGUACACUGGGGCAGCCCUUAACUUUGAAAAAGUUACGAUUUUAGUCUCGGCUUCAAAAAUUGAUACUUUAAGGCCGCCAUAUGGUUUUUAACCUUUUGAACUAUUCGGCAAAUGUUGUAAAACAAGUUCUGGUGACGUCAACGCAUGAUCACGAGCAUGAAAGGCAUCAUAUAACAUUGCGAAUGGCUAACAAAUGCAUUUUGGAGACUCAAAAUCUACAAGUAAUUAGAGAUAGGAAGAUAUUAUGUAACUUAUCAGAACUCAUAGAAAAGAAGGGGAGGGAAGAUACGAGUACUAUAAAUAAGGCCAGCAGUGUUUAGUCAAGAUCGCUUGAACAUGUAUUUAUUUCAUUCCUAACGAAACCCUAAAACCUAUUUUAAUAGAAAAAGAAGAAUCAUAUUGAGUCAAAAAAAAUAAUUAUCUAAAAAAUAUUUUUAAAAAUCAGCAUUUCCCUAUUGCUAGAGCAUUUAAAAUUGUGUCAAACUCUCGAAACAAUAGCUUGCACCUAUUCUCUUGUUGCUCCAUGCACAGUGAAGGAGCUAGAAAUUUGAGAUAAGAAACAUCCUAUUAGGCAACUUUAUUUUUUCCGUGUGGCAUUUUUUGCGAUACGCAUUGUAGAUGACAUCAAAGGGCAUGUUAGUAAAAUACAAAGAAAUUCAGUUUGGGUGCUGAGUGUUGUGGUUUGUCGUCAAAAAAAAGAGGAAAGGGCCAUUGUUCGCCACCGGAAUGAGGGAAGAAUUAGUGGAGGGGUAUGAUAAAUCUGUCCACCGUUCUGACCAUUGAUAAACGGCAGUCCAUCCACCGUUUAAUUUUUUGUCUGUUGUUUUUGUAUUUAAACUUCCAUGAACAUGUUGUGUUUUUAUUGCUUGUAUCCAUUUUUAAUUAUAGAAGUAAAAUGUGUUACUUUUGGUUCUAUUAAACUAGGUUAGGGGCAUUGUGGCCAAGUUCAAAUGAAAAAAUUAUUUUAUGCAAUUUUUGUAAGGUCAAACAUAACUCAACUUCGCUUAAUCAUAUCUCAUAGCAAUUGCAACUAUCUAUAAUUUGUGUAUAUAUAGUGAGGAAGUUCAUUUUUCUCGGCAAUUGCGAAUCCCUCAAUCACUUAUAUGAGUUUGUAUAGGGGCAAACAAUAGUAUCUCUCUUAGAUCAUCUCGACAUACUCAUUAUGUAUCUAAAUUUUAAGAAAAUAGUAAUCUCUGCCUUAUUUUUAGGAAACUCCUUUUUAUUAUUUGUCUAAUAAAAGCAAUAUAUACUUCUUAUUAUUACUCUAUUCUAUUUAGAAAAAAAAUAUUAAUUUUUCAACUUUUAUUAAAAUUGAAAUAUAUCUAGAAGAGGGCAAAUAUUAUAUAAACCUAUAUACAACAUCUUCUGUAACCUUGUUUUUCGCUACAUGGUGGGCGAGGCACCGGUGACUUACAAGAUUUUGCAAAGCAGAUUGCAAGGCGAGGCCUAUGUGAUGAACUACUGAAAGGAUGGUGAAGAGUUGGGGUUCACAUCAUCACCGAGAAGAUGAUGAACAGAUCUGGAUUUUGAGGAAAAACCAAACAACCCUAUGUUGCUAUGGGCGAGAUUGGCAGAGAAGUGAUCAAAUAGUUUUUCUAAUUCUUGGGGAAUGCCAUGACUCCUCGUAAUGUAAAGAUUAUUUUAAAACAAACUCUUAAAAAAUAAAGGGUUGUGUCACGUGUGUGUGUGUGUGGGUGUGUGUGUGUGUAAUAUAUAGUUAUUCUAGUUAAAAAUCUUAAUAGUUUUGUUUUUUUGCUAAAAUAUAAAAAGUGAGAUAAAAAAAAUCAACCCUUUUUUGUUUGUAAUGGUUAAAAAAUUAAUUUUUUAAGCCAUUAUUAUUUAGGGUAAAUCUAACUAAUCUUUCUUGAAGUUUUUUAAAAAUACAGUCAUCCCCCAUUUGGUUUUAAAAAUAGUAUUGACGUUUCUUACUUUUUAAAUUAUUAUCAAGAUUUAGAAGCUAAUUUUUUUUUAAAAAACAAUAUACAUUACAAGAUUCACCUUAUGUUUGAGGCUUUCCACAUUUUUUUUAAAUACCCCAUUAAAAUAAAUAAUGUUUAUGUUUUUUUAAAAAAAUGAUCUCAAAGUUUAUUUUUUAAAGUAUAAUUUAGAUUAAAAAAACACUUAAAAAGUAAAAUAGUUAAAUUAUUAUUUUUUAAAAAAAUUCUUAUUAAUUAAUAAAAUUAUUUUUUAAUUAUAUUUUUAUUAGGAGUACUUAAAAAGUAAACUAUUAAGAUUAGUUCUUUUUAAAAAAACUACUCAUUUAUAAAAAAUAAAAAUGGAGUAGUCUACAAAUAAAUAAUUUUUUGAGAAAAGAGAAAUAUUUUUUUAAUGGUGCAUUGAGGAAAAAAAAAUUUAAAAGCCCUAAAUUUAAUGUCAAGAUUAUUAUUUUUACACAAAAAUUAGCUCCAUAGAGGAGUAGACUGUAUUUGUUAGAAAUCUGUGAAGGUCGGUGAAUUUUAUCCUAUUAUUUAUUAAUAAAAAAUUAUUAAUGGUUGUUGAGUUUUUGACUCUAGUAACUGAACUAUGAUGAAUAGGUUAUUUUGGUAAAGCUUUAGUGAAGCAUAAAAUUUAUCCUAUUAUUUAUAAAUAAAAAAGUUACUUACUGGAGUUUAUUAAAAAGUUUAGGCCAAAAGAAUAAAAGAAAGGACCUUAGUAACCAAAAUCAACUAAAAGCCCAAAGUUUUAAGCUUUCAAUUUUCUUUGGGCCCAUCAUGGUGAUAGAAGCCCAUUUCACGAAGGAUCUGCUUUCAGACCUGGAAGAAUAGCGUUUUACUUUCCGGAAUAAAGCCCGGCGUUGAGACGUUUGUGAAUCUUUCGCAUCUCGUAUUCUGUUGCAGGUUCUCUCUAAGAAAUUCUCAGUUCUUGCUGGUU
rnacentral:lncRNA from 1 species